GGAGUUGUGGCUCAGUGGUAGAGCACUUGCCUAGCAUGUGUGAGGCCCUGGGUUCAAUCCUCAGCACCA
rnacentral:tRNA from 1 species